rnacentral:rRNA from 1 species
UACGUAGGGUCCAAGCGUUAUCCGGAAUCACUGGGCGUAAAGCGUGCGUAGGCGGAUAAGUAAGUGCAAUAUUAAAUCCCGUGGCUCAACCAUGUGGCCGUGUUGCAUACUGCUUAUCUGGAGGACAUGAGAGGCAAGUGGAAUUACUGGUGUAGCAGUGAAAUGCGUAGAUAUCAGUAGGAACACCAAUGGCGAAGGCAGCUUGCUGGCAUGUAUCUGACGCUAAGGCACGAAAGCGUGGGGAGCGAACAGGAUUAGAAACCCG